GGGGGCGAAAGGUCUCGACGGGGUUGAUGGAGAUGGAGGUGGCGUGCCGAGGUCCCCGGCGGCCUCGUAAAAAAGCCGGGAAGCUACAACUGACAACUACGAUUACGCUCUGGCUGCUUAAUUGAGGCAGCCCGUCCGCCCCGCCGGGCCCGCACGGCGGGAUACGGGCGUCGGAACUGCGGGAUAGCCCAAAGCCCCUCCGCCUGCGGGGGCUCGGGUGAAGACUCAAGCAGGCUGGCGUCCGGAGGUCCUGCCCAUCGGAGCUUCGGACGUGAGAACGAAAGAUGGGCUAUGCACGUAGAAGCCUCCGUCGAAGCAAUCCCGGACGCGGGUUCGAUUCCCGCCGCCUCCACCA
rnacentral:tmRNA from 1 species